UACGGAAGGCAGCAGUGGGGAAUAUUGCACAAUGGGCGAAAGCCUGAUGCAGCUAUGCCGCGUGUAUGAAGAAGGCCUUAGGGUUGUAAAGUACUUUCAUCGGGGAGGAAAAACAAACUAAUAAUUUUAUUUCUUGACGUUACCCGAAAAAGAAGCACCGGCUAACUCCGUGCCAGCAGCCGCGGUAAUACGGAGGGUGCUAGCGUUAAUCAGAAUUACUGGGCGUAAAGAGCACGUAGGUGAUUUUUUUAAGUCAGAUGUGAAAUCCCUGGGCUUAACCUAGGAACUGCAUUUUGAAACUGAAAUACUAGAGUAUCGUAGAGGGAGGUAGAAUUCUAGGUGUAGCGGUGAAAUGCGUAGAUAUCUGGAGGAAUACCUGUGGCGAAAGCGGCCUCCUAAACGAAUACUGACACUGAGGUGCGAAAGCGUGGGGAGCAAACAGGGAUUAGAUACC
rnacentral:rRNA from 1 species